AAAUCUGCUCAAUGAAAUUUAAAUAGCCGCAACUUAGUGCUAAGGUAGCAUAAUAAUUUGUCUUUUAAAUGAAGACUGGAACAAAAGAUUUAACAUUUUAAUUAAUAUAUUAUUUAAAUCAAUUCAAUUUAUCUUAAAAGUUAAAAGACUUUUAUAUAAUAAAAAGACGACAAGACCCUAUUGAACUUUACUUUAGUUAAACUGGGGCAGUAAAUUAAUUAUUAUUUUAAUUAUAAUAUAAAUACAAAAAGCCUAAUAAAAGAUAACUUAGUUACCAUAGGGAUAACAGCAUAAUUAAAUUUAAGAGUCCUUAUCUAAAAUAUAGAUUAUGACCUCGAUGUUGAAUUAAUAACCUAAUUAAGGCAAAUCUUAAAAUAGGAAGUCUGUUCGACUUUUAAACAAUUACAUGAUUUGAGUUCAGACCGGUAUAAGCCAGGUCGGUUUCUAUCUUUUUAAAAUAUUUUUGUAGUACGAAAGGACCUAAAAAUUAAAUAUAAUUUUAUUAUGUGGCAGAUAAAUGCAUUAGAAUUAGAAUCUAAUAAUCUAAAUAUUUUUUAAUUAAUUAUAUCUUAAUUACAAUUAGAAUUUUAGUAAGAGUAGCUUUUUAUACUAUCUUAGAACGAAAAGUAUUAGGCUAUAUACAAAUUCGAAAAGGACCAAAUAAAGUAGGAUUUUUAGGAAUCUUACAACCAUUCAGAGAUGCUUUAAAACUUUUUAACAAAAAUUUAUUACCUCAUGAAAAUAUAAAUUCAAUUCUAUCUUUCUCAACACCUGCCUUAUCAUUAAUUAUUAGAAUUUUAUUAAUUCCAAUUAUUUCAUAUAAUAUAAAUUCACUAUUUGAUAACAAACAUAGAAUUCUAUUAUUUUUUAUUCUAUCUAGAGUAGCAGUUUAUUCCAUUCUAAUAAUUGGAUGAUCAGCUAAUUCAAAAUAUGGCACU
rnacentral:rRNA from 1 species